AAUGAACGCUGGCGGCAUGCCUAAUACAUGCAAGUCGAGCGAACGGACGGGAAGUUUGCGUCUAUGAUGUUAGCGGCGGACGGGUGAGUAACAUGUGGAUAACCUACCUAUAAGAAUGGGAUAACUUCGCGGAACCGGAGCUAAUACCGGAUAAUAUUUUGAACAGCAUGGUUCAAAAGUGAAAGACGGUCUUUCUGUCACUUAUAGAUGGAUCCGCGCUGCAUUAGCUAGUUGGUAAGGUAACGGCUUACCAAGGCAACGAUGCAUAGCCGACCUGAGAGGGUGAUCGGCCACACUGGAACUGAGACACGGUCGAGACUCCUACGGGAGGCAGCAGUAGGGAAUCUUCCGCAAUGGGCGAAAGCCUGACGGAGCAACGCCGCGUGAGUGAUGAAGGUCUUCGGAUCGUAAAGCUCUGUUAGUAGGGAAGAACAUAUGUGUAAUUAACUGUGCACAUCUUGACGGUACCAAAAGAGAAAGCCCCGGCUAACUACGUG
rnacentral:rRNA from 1 species